CACAACCAGCAAACACAAUGAAUCUCUUCAGCAGCUUCAUCUGGAUUCUGACAGCUUUUCUUCCAGCAGCAUCCAGAGGAAUCACUGUGACUCAGCCUGAAGUUCUGACUGUUUCUGAAGGACGAGACGUCACUAUAGAGUGUAAAACUGAUGCUGGAAUAGAUGGAUGGGGCUUAUUCUGGUAUCAGCAGAAGACUGGAGAAACUCCUAAACUCAUGAUUACUGGAGUAAACGAUCGCUAUGGUAACAGUUUCAGUCGAUUCAGUGGGAAUGGAAGAUCUGGUGGAACAGAUUUCACUCUGAGCCUCAGUGGAGUCCAGACUGAAGAUGCUGGACAUUAUUACUGUCAGAGUGUUCACGUCAUCAGUGGUAGUGGUGUGUUCACACAGUGAUUGUGAGUGGUAUAAAAACCUGUGUCAGUCAGAGUCACAGUGACUGAACUGAUGCUGCAGCUGAUCAAACACUAUCACUCUCUCUACAGAGAAGAAACACAAUGUUGAGCUCCAUCAUUCUUUUUUAAGAUUAUUAAAUGUAUUUUGAUAAAAAAAUUUGAUCUUUUAUGGUUUAUCUCUACUAAUUUCCACUCACUAAUUUUUCAAUCCAUGACGUAUUUUUAUGAUGCAUAAUUUCUUUCUUCUUUCUAAUUAUAUAAAAAAUAAUCAGCAGGACAUAAAGAUGUUGCUGCUGAAUAGUUUAUCAUCUUCCAUCUGAUCUCUCCCUAAACAGUUAAUUCAUAAGUUGUGUCUUAUAAAACUAUCUCUCAAACUCUAAAACUGUCUCAUCAGUGCAUGAGCAGAAGUGAAACUGUUUCAGUUCAGAGCGUUGAACCGAGAACAGAGAAACUGUGAGUUUGAAGUUUGAACU